GUAAUAAAUUAAUAUAUUUAAGAGAUAUCCGGACAACAUAACUUUUGCCGAUGAAGAUGCUCUUACCUUUUGUCGGGUCAGGCGUUUACAUUUUAUAAAGGUUAAAUUUUUUGAUGAUGAUUUCUAUUUCUAGAGAGAGUUCAUCAAAGGAAAAGAUAUCAACAAGAUAAUUUCUGCAAAGUAACGAUAACAUG
rnacentral:sRNA from 1 species